AUACGGAGGGUGCAAGCGUUAAUCGGAAUUACUGGGCGUAAAGCGCGCGUAGGCGGUUUGAUAAGUCGGAUGUGAAAUCCCCGGGCUCAACCUGGGAAUUGCAUUCGAUACUGUCAGGCUAGAGUGUGGUAGAGGGAAGUGGAAUUUCCGGUGUAGCGGUGAAAUGCGUAGAUAUCCGGAGGAACACCAGUGGCGAAGGCGGCUUCCUGGACCAAUUCUGACGCUGAGGUGCGAAAGCGUGGGGAGCAAACAGGAUUAGAAACCCUAGUAGUCC
rnacentral:rRNA from 1 species